rnacentral:rRNA from 1 species
UACGAAGGGGGGCUAGCGUUGUUCGGAAUCACUGGGCGUAAAGGGCGCGUAGGCGGCUUUGUAAGUCGGGGGGUGAAAGCCUGUGGCUCAACCACAGAGUUGCCUUCGAUACUGCAUGGCUUGAGACCGGAAGAGGUAAGUGGAACUGCGAGUGUAGAGGUGAAAUUCGUAGAUAUUCGCAAGAACACCAGUGGCGAAGGCGGCUUACUGGUCCGGUUCUGACGCUGAGGCGCGAAAGCGUGGGGAGCAAACAGG